rfam:Chlorocebus sabaeus isolate 1994-021 chromosome 4, whole genome shotgun sequence.
GCCAGGUGUGGAGGUGCAUGCCUGUAAUCCUAGCUACUUGGGAGGCUGAGGCAGGAGAAUCACUUGAACCUGGGAGAUGGAGGUUGCAGUGAGGUGAGAUCGUAGCACUGCACUCCAGCCUGGGUGACAGAGUGAGACUCUGUCUCAA